AUUUGAUCUCAUUCAUUUAAUAUUUAUCCGCCCAUCUGCGGCAACAUGGCAGCGUUUAUUUCCUUCUAGAAGCGUCUGUUUGGUGUGGGGGUGGCGGAGUGACAGUUGUGCGUGGCGUCUGUGUUGUGUGUGUCAUCCAUGUGUCAGUGCCGUCCGAGUGUGUGUGUGUGUGUGUGUGUGUGUGUGUGCGUGUGACUGUGUGUGUGUGUGUGCCGAGUUAAGUGGCCCCUGUCCAUGGUGACGUUGUCACACCUCUCCCGGGAUCCUGCUCUGUUUCCCGCAGCGUUCCAGGAUCCUGGGAAGUGUCUCCGUGGCGCUGCAGGGCCGUGGGCGUCUGGCACAGAUAGCGUUCUGAUAGCACGGUGACGGACAGGCGGGAAACCUCCCCCCUGCACCCCACCCGCCGGCUGGCCCUCCCCUCCCACGACGUCUACACCCUGCUCUGCCUGUUCCCCGUGCCACUCAAGCUAUGUGUACUUGGACCUAAAGAUGUGUGUGGAUUACUGAGCAGAAGAUCACCUUGACUAUGACCAGUCAUAGAGAGCCGUGGGCUGUGGAGCUGAGAAGAGAGGCUUGCUUCUCCCCCCACCAAACACCUCCAUCACCCGCCUCUACCCCCUUCAGGCUUGGGGUUCUCCUGAGGUUGAGGGUAGGACUGACUGAUGAGGUCCCAGCUGCGAGGACUUCAGGAGAAUUGAACCAGGCUCUCUCAGCCCAGGGAGGAAAUGACAAAUAAGUACUUCCAGCCGACUGGAAGAGCCACGCAUCAGAGGCUUCAGGACAGGAAAUAGGAGGGACAUUUUAGACUGUCACACAAAGGAUGGUGUGUUCCAGAAACACUCUGCAAACAGCACGCUGAGCCAGGCAACUAGGUAUAAAGAGGUGGAAGACCUUUCUCAUUUCUUGCUUUUCCUCUGACUCCUUUCAAAGAAGUUGAUGAAGUUCCCGAAUCAAUCAGUGCCCCAGUAACCAGGCAACAGCCACAGUAAUUCCGUUCUUUCUCUCACUUCUUCUCAUUUUCUCUCUCUCUCUCUCGACUCUGUUGCCACUCAGCUGUCUGAGGCUCGUGUCUGACAGUGACAGCGUUGUUCUCUCCGUUUGCCGUGGCUCUCCUUUUGGUCAGACAGCCG
rnacentral:lncRNA from 1 species